UCGGUCAUACUGUUUGAUUUGGGGACCUAAAGUAUCACUACCAAAAAUUACUAACGAAACCACUCAAAUAUUGUCCAAUAAACUAUAAAAAGUUCAGUCGCGCAAAGGCUUAAUUUGGUCUUAGGAUUUAGAGCGACCAAAGCUAUAUUGAAAAAGGGAAUUAGUAUGUAACUAAUGUGUGACAAGAUACUUAUAUUAAAAUUAUAAUUUUGUGAUAUUUCAUUAUAUAAAUGAUAUGGAAUUAGUGAUUCUAAUACUAAAAUGAUAUCAUCAUCUUUAAUAUUAGAAAGCUAGAAGAAGAGUUUGAUGUCUCAAAGCUUCACCAACAAAAUGGACUAUAAAGCCCCUCAAACAAAAAAAUCCACAACUGACAAAAUAGCAGGGGUACUUUUGUCAAAAAGAAAAAAAUAUGUUAAACAAAAAGAGAAUUAAAAUUUAGAAAAGUAAAAGAAAAAUAAAAGAGAAGAUAAAAACCCACAAAGAUUUAUUGAAGUUACAAAUUGGUCCCCCUAUCCUCUACCUAAUCAGAAUCUUCUUUCUAGAUUCUCUCCCUCUCUUUAGCUACCAGGUGGCAGCCCAUUAACUCACCCUAUCUCUCUCUCAUUCCCCCCUCCCCCGAGUCAACUCUUACACUCUCUCUCAAUUCACUCUUCUUUCUCUCAUAGCUCUCUCUCUCUCUCGCACUCUUCCUUCCCGAUCUUCCCACACACACACCCAUCCUCACACCCAAAACUUCACGAAACCAUUACCAACUCGAGAAGACCACCCCUCUCUUUUUCCUUUGUCUUUGUGAAGCACGGCGAAGCCCAGAAAGCCCGCAAGUUUUCUCGACAAACCCCGUCGCCUUCAAGGCAUUUUCCUGCCCUCUCCGACCACCCCACGACUAAUCGAAGGUACCAAAUCCCUCCCUUUCAUCUCUAGCUUCAUUUUGGUGCAUAGAUCAUAGCCUAAGGGUGAGUGUUGGCUGUGAUCGGAGCUCGGAAGGCUUCGGCUUUCUUCCCCGACGAAGAAAUGGCCUUCAAGCCCAAAACCAUAUAACUAAGGCCCUUAGGCCUAAACAAAAGCCCAAUUCUUUGGAAACCCAUACCCAACCCAUAUGUCACUAAGGCUGCCAUGUGGCAGCGCAUUAACUCACCUUAUCUUUUUCUCAUUUCCCUCAUCUUGAGUCAAUUCUCACACUCUCUCUCAACUCACUUCUCUCUCUCUCUCUUUUUUUCUCUCUCUCUCACAGAUCUCUCUUCCCGAUCUACCCACACACACACCCAUCCUUACACCCAAAACUUGAUGACACCACCACCAACUCGAGAGGACCACCCCUCUCCCUCUCUGUCGUAUCUGUGAAGCAUGGCGAAGCCUAGAAACCCCGAGAGUUUUCCCGGCGAACCCUGUAGACUUCAAGGCAUUUCCCGGCUCCCUCCGGUCACCCCACGACUAAUUGAAGUUACCAAAUAUCUCCCUCUCGUCUCUAACUUCAUUUAGGUGCAUAGAUUGUAGCCUAGGGUGAGUGUUGGUGGUGACCGGAGCUCGGAAGGCUCCAGCCUUUUUCCUCGACGAAGAAAGGGCCUUCAAGCCUAAAACCAUAGAACUAAGGCCUUUGGGCCUAAACAAAAGCCCAAUUCUUUGGAAAUCCAAAUCUAAUCCCUAUGUCACUAAGGCCUCUGGGCCAUUUCGAACUCGGGCCUUUGGCCCGUUAACCCUAUGACCCUUUUGCUUUGGGUCGAGCUUUCAACCUAGGCCCUUUGACCCAAAACCUAUUAGACACAAUCCUUUUGGGCCUUAAAACCCAGCCCAGUGGCGAAGCCCAGGCCCACCAAACCCAAGCUCAAGAACCUAGGCCCAAACCUGGUCCAACCCAGUAGCCUAGUCGAAUGUUGUCGGCGUCAGCGCGUGAAGUACAUGCGCCACUAUCCAUGGCGGCACCGGCGAAUUUUCUGGCGACCCACGACGGCGUGUGAAGGGGCGUAGGGCGGUGCGUGGGGGUACCCGAGGUCCCUCUUUAUGUUUUUUGAUGUCCUGAAUCCAUUUAUAAUGUCCGUUUUCUGAAAUUCAGUCGUUGGAGUAUAAUUUUGUUAAUUGUACCCUUUAUGUGCUUAGGUGCAUUUAUUAGCAGCGAUUCUGUCAUUCCUAUUUCGUGCGGCUCUUCGACGACGAAGUAUCUGACAUAGAAACGAGGCUUAUGACCCGCGCUACGAGGCUUUCCCCUACCAGUGAUAUCGUGCCAUCAUCUUUGCUUUGACAUCAUUGUAAUAACACCUUCCAUUGUAUUCCGAAUUAGAUGUGUGCUAUGAACAUGUCAUGCACUAUCACUAUCUUCACGUAGAAAUGAAUAGUCACCUCUUAUUAUUUUGCUGCAAUUUAUAUGCAUGUAUUAUGGUCAAGUAAGGUAAUCGCAUAUCCAUCCCUUGACAUUGAGAAGGAUUUCCAAAUAAAGAGGAAGUGGUGCAGCUUGAGAGGUUGGAGUUCUCUCUUUUGCUUCUGCUAGUGAAAGGUAGGGCUUUGAGGCUCAUUUUAGUGUGGUAGAGUGGUCGGCUGUUAACUGACUGGUCGUAGGUUCAAAUCCUACUUGGGGAGAAUUUAUAGUUUUAGCUUUUAGAUCCACCUGCGGUUUGUCUACGCCCUGACCAAAAAGACCUUUUAAGUAAGUUUCACAAAUAUGGUCUGAUGCUCAGAUGUUAAAAUUCCUUCACGUUAGUAAGCCAAGCAAGCUAGGUUCCCGGACACUACGAUAGGUCCCCGGGACCCCGGGACAUUGGCUUCCGCCAACAGUGGAUUAUUAAGGAUCGCAUCCUUUUCUUCUCGAAUAACAUCUGCAGUAGCCUAGGAGAAGAAAAGCAAACUACCUUCGCCUACCUCCCAUCUAUAUCUAUAGGCAGCAAUGGUAAGAGCUGGUAAGCAUGGUAACUGUAUCGGCGGGACCACCUACCACUAGUCUUCGCCCGGAGGGGUUUAUUGCACAAAAACGCCGGGACGCAGGCUCCCGAAGAGGGAAGCCCAACGAAUGUCUGAUGUAAAGCUCCGCACCUCAUUAAGAAAAGAAUGCUGUAACGGGGGUGAGUGAACCCUCAUACAUAUCAGGUGCCCACAUAUAUAGAGUCAAAAGAGAUGUGGUGUCUGAAGGGGAGGGGGUUUUCUUCGGGGCUCGAGAGAGGGAAAUAGAUAGGGCCCCGCAAGUUUUUAAUUCGUUGCAGGGGAAUUUACACCAAAAGGAACGAUGAAUUCUCAACGAAAAAAGUGCUCUCUGAACCAAACGUGAAAGUAGUUUUCCAUCAAACGGCUGUUCCCGUAACUCCACUCUCGACUUGGAUUAUAUAUCCAAAAAGGUCCGCUCUCGGCCAUUCCACACAUGUCCUCGGCAUAUGCAUUCAUUAAAUGACUUUCGUCACCCUCAGGUGUUGGCUAGCACGUGGCCAUCUCGAUGUCCCUCGGACAUCAGGAUCGGGGCGUGUCACAAUCGCUCCACUUACUUCAAUUUUUUUUUUGUUUUUUUUUUUUUUAUUUUAUUUUUUAUCAAGGACAGUUUAUAAAACAGAAUAAAAAUCGAACGUGAAGAACCCACUGUAGAGGAAAAGAAACCACCGUAUUCCAUGUUCUGCAGGUAACUGUAAAACUACCAGCCAUCCUCAUCUUCCAUAAUUGAAAAAUUAGUGCGUGGUUUUUCAUUCCACGCCAUGGAUACAAGUGAAUCACAACAAAAUCUAAUAGGAUGGUGAAGACCAGGCAGGGUCAUGCAUAGGUCUUUUGUCACCAUUUUCAGAGGGUUUGUGCUAGGGAAGGCUAGCUGAGGCAGAGCAAGUUGGGUUGUUUCGUGCGACUAUGAGAGGAUGGAGAGGUUGACCAUGAGACGGGGGUUGUAUAGUGUGAAAAAGGCACGAGAGAGAGUUUAGUAGAAAUUAAUCUAUCAAAGAGUUAAUGACUGAAUUGAUCACAUUUGAAAGGACCUUGAAGACAAUUUGAGUACCGAACAAAUAACUAUGACCAUGGUAAGUGAUUUCUGUCAUCGCUUCUUUGUUCCAUUUAAUUGUGGAUUACACAUUCUUCUUAAAUAUAUAUAUACUUUUGG